rnacentral:tRNA from 1 species
ACCUGGGUGGCUCAGUCGGUUGAGCAUCUGACUUCAGCUCAGGUGAUGAUCUCAUGGCUUGCGAGUCCGAGCCCCAUGUG